UGCAGACAAAUUAGAGGAAAGGG
rnacentral:piRNA from 1 species